UUUCCCACAAAUCUUCUUCUUCUACCACCAAAUCAACAAACAAUCCUUCAACAAAAAAUCCUCUCGGCCCAUAAAAAUCGUCGUCUCCUCCACAAAAACGUCGCCUCCUUCCAGACAUUCGUUUCUUCUACAAAAACCCUAUUCCUAGUCCAGAAAAUUGGCGAAGAAGGGAAACGAAAAACCUAAUUCAACAAUGGUGGACACUAGAUCUGUUAGUCAUGACGGAAAAGUGUAUCAAAGAAAGGACGUGAAUAAUAAGAAACCUCGAAUCCCAAAAGCACCGAAAGCAAAAGGUCAAACUUCCACAAAACCCUCAACUGAAGUGAGGCCUAGUAGCCACGACACAAAACAAGAUACGGGACCCCAUAACAAAAUCAUUCCAGAAGGGGACAAAGGGAAAGAGACGGCUGGGGA